rnacentral:lncRNA from 1 species
CGCAGACGAGCCCGCGCCCGCGCCGCUCAGUUUUCUGAAAGAAAAGAUCAGUAAGAUCAGUUAUGGGCUAUGAUGAAACCAUUUUAAGUCUCUGUUCUUUGCCAAGCUCCAAGGUAGGUCAAGGGAAUCAAUAAUGUAGGAUUGUGAAGUCUUUGUCCAGGUUACUCACAGAAUUUUCUUGUGAGUGAAAGACUUGGGAGAUUUUAGAAGUUACCAUCUAUCAACAGUUUUCUGAUAUCUGCUCAUCUAAUACUGUUACACUUUUGUUUAAUCUGUUGUGGC